UAGCAGUUAGUUUAAUAAAAACAAAUGAUUUCGACUCAUUAAAUUAUGUUUAAAUCCAUAACUGCUAA
rnacentral:tRNA from 1 species